AGCUGGCUGCAUCUGAAACAAGAGGAGAGAUGGGUAGGAGACGGGGGCAUCCAGGGCCCAGAUACAUCAAACGCAGCCCUGAUCUCUGUGCACACAAGCCACUGGGGUUGCAACAAGGGCAUCAACGUCUCUAAAGGCAGAGACAGGGGUCUGAGUGAACCUAGCUCUGCCCUAACUUGAGGUGACUGACCUAGCCCUAUGCAUUGAGGAUGAGUCUCCUUACCUUCAAAAUGGCCCUGAUAACCUCUCUUGAGGGUUGUUAUGAGGCUUGAGUGAGAUAGGAGUGUACAGCAGUUCCAGCACAGGCCUCUCCCACAACAGAUGAGUGAUUUGCUGCAAGGAUACAGGGAGAGACAAGCUAACUCUAAUGGUGGGGUGAUGUCAAGGGAGGUUUGGUGGGGAGCAACCCUGAGCUGGGCUUUGAAGGAUGGAGGCUGGUAAAGGAGGAGCUAUUCCAGGCAAAAGCAGCUGGGAUAGGCCUGCUUGGAGGUGGGGUGCUGGAGACAGGGGUGCCCAGCCUGUUCACAAUAAGAAGUAACCACGGUAAAGAUACAAAUAGUGUCCUGGGACAGAAGCCAAGCCACCUUGUUAUCUACUUUACCAGCUAAGCCCAGAGAGGGUGGAGCAGGCUCAAGGUCGGCUGCGGAGAUCCUGGCCUCAGCUUCCCAGCAGAGGGCUCUUCUGCAGAAAGUGAUCCCAGGAUAGGGGGCUGCCAUGGGAGUCAGGGAUUUGCACCCCAAAUUUCAGGUGGUAUCUGAGCUCUGUGUGUCCUUCCUACCCACCUCUCAGACAAGGUCUCCAAGCACAGAAGCUGAGCUAUUCCGGGUGGCCUGGAAGGAAGUAUCAGAACCAGGUGCUACUUACAUCUGAUAAACUCAAGUGGUGGACAGAACAGAGAGGGCCUCCUCCAAGGUGACUUGCUAAGUCCUCCCCUAACGACGAAAUAGAGAAGCUUCCUGCCCCUGUUACACAUGGCCUCCUCCCGGGCCCAGCAGCUCACCUGGACCACGGAAAGCACAGAAAGAACUGGCUGAAUGAAUCAAGAGAUCAAGUGUUCUCCCUGAGGCCCUGUAA
rnacentral:lncRNA from 1 species